rfam:Triticum aestivum genome assembly, contig: Triticum_aestivum_CS42_TGACv1_scaffold_641255_T_4AL-0.130982_1BL-0.068636
AAAUUACUCCCUCCGUCCCAAAAUUCUUUUCUUGGAUUUGUCUAGAUACGGAUGUAUCAAGUCACAUUUUAGUAUUAGAUACAUCCGUAUCUAGACGUACAUCCGUAUCUAGACAAAUCUAAGACAAGAAAUUUGGGACAGAGGGAGUGGUUG